AAUAAGAUGGCUAAGAGAGAGAAGAGUUGUUUAGCACAGAGUGACUUAAAAAAAUAAUAAGGCACAUGUAAAAAGCAACUCAUUUUAAAGGUCUUUUUAGUUUUUACAAUUUUUUUGGUGCUGGGGAAUGAACCCCAGGGCCUCAUGCAUGCUACAUAAGCAGUCUACCACUGACCUACAUCCUGGACCUGAAGGCAGAUCAGUUUCAACCGCAGUUAAUUUCUGGCCCCGAGAAAUCUCUGCAACAGCAGGUGAACAUUGCGAGAAGUCUGUCCAUCUUGGAGUUAAUACCACUGCAUAAAACAACUUCGGGUACAAUGCAGUGACGCAGGGGAACGUGUGGGACUGGGCUCCAGGAGGCCUCUGUGGAUAUUGGCUUCUGUACCAUCGAUUACAGCCUGAGAAAGAGAAAUUCCAAGGACUUGGCUUCGAAGACCUUUCCUGUCACUCUGUUAAGCCUCCCGCAGCCCUGGAUCCCCACGCCACUUCCAGUUUUACAAGUUGGGGAGCCUUUCUGUCGUCAAGUGCUUUGUGAGCAAGCGUGUCAGGCCCACAAAGGGAAGGGCUGCGAAAAUGAUCUUCGAGUCAAUGGGAUUUGUCUUCUGAUAAGAAUGACUCACUGUAUAGAAGGCUGUGGGCUAAAAGCAACAAUAUUCUUUAAAUGUACCUAUUGUCAAAGGCUUUGGGUGGAUAGUCAGUAAUUACAUAAUGGAGGUGCAGAAUCCGAGGCAGAUGUCGGCUUCCACUUUUCCUGUUGAAUAGGCCUCUCCUACGUAUGCCAAAAUGACAAGGAAAGCUGCAGUCGGGACCCUCAGGUGUUGUCCUGGCCCUAUGAUAUUCCAAAAGUAUGAGCUUCUGUUCACAGGAAAAACCCUCUGACUUCUCAACCUGGUAUCCAGGUACCAGUAGGAAGACUCAGCUCGUUCCUUCAUUGACUAUGGGGAGAGAAUUCAAACUCCAAAGGCAGGUAUGUUGGCUUAAAGUCCUGGCUCUGGCUUUAUUAGUUGUGCAGAC
rnacentral:lncRNA from 1 species